GGGGAUAUAGCUCAGUAGGUAGAGCACUUGCCUCACAUGUACAAGGCCCUGGAUUCAAUCCCCAGCACCCUCA
rnacentral:tRNA from 1 species